rnacentral:rRNA from 1 species
GUGGGGAAUCUUGCGCAAUGGGCGAAAGCCUGACGCAGCCAUGCCGCGUGAAUGAUGAAGGUCUUAGGAUUGUAAAAUUCUUUCACCGGGGACGAUAAUGACGGUACCCGGAGAAGAAGCUCCGGCUAACUUCGUGCCAGCAGCCGCGGUAAUACGAAGGGGGCUAGCGUUGCUCGGAAUUACUGGGCGUAAAGGGCGCGUAGGCGGACAGCUUAGUCAGAGGUGAAAGCCCAGGGCUCAACCUUGGAAUUGCCGUUGAUACUGGCUGUCUUGAGUUUGGGAGAGGUGAGUGGAACUCCGAGUGUAGAGGUGAAAUUCGUAGAUAUUCGGAAGAACACCAGUGGCGAAGGCGACUCACUGGCCCAAUACUGACGCUGAGGCGCGAAAGCGUGGGGAGCAAACAGGAUUAGAAACCCGAGUAGUCC